AAUGCGGUCAUCGAGGUCUCCACAGAUGGAAGCAGCGGUAAGGGGGUCCUUGCAGACGCCCC
rnacentral:SRP_RNA from 12 species